GCCGGGUGUGGUGGCUCACGCCUGUAAUCCCAGCACUUUGGGAGGCUGGGGUGGGCGGAUCACUUGAGGUCAGGAGUUCAAGACCAGCCUGGCCAACAUGGUGAAACCUCACCUCUA
rfam:Pan troglodytes isolate Yerkes chimp pedigree #C0471 (Clint) chromosome 6, whole genome shotgun sequence.